rnacentral:rRNA from 1 species
CCUACGGGGGGCUGCAGUCGGGAAUUUUGGGCAAUGGGCGAAAGCCUGACCCAGCAACGCCGCGUGAAGGAUGAAGUAUUUCGGUAUGUAAACUUCGAAAGAAUGGGAAGAAUCAAUGACGGUACCAUUUAUAAGCUCCGGCUAACUACGUGCCAGCAGCCGCGGUAAUACGUAGGGAGCAAGCGUUGUUCGGAUUUACUGGGCGUAAAGGGCGCGUAGGCGGCGCGACAAGUCACUUGUGAAAUCUCCGGGCUUAACUCGGAACGGCAAAGUGAAACUGUCAUGCUAGAGUGCAGAAAGGGCAAUCGGAAUUCUUGGUGUAGCGGUGAAAUGCGUAGAUAUCAAGAGGAACACCUGAGGCGAAGGCGGGUUGCUAGGCUGACACUGACGCUGAGGCGCGAAAGCCAGGGGAGCAAACGGGAUUAGAUACCCGGGUAGUC